rnacentral:tRNA from 1 species
UCUAAAUAUAAGCGUAGUGGUUAGAGCGUCCAACCGGCACCUGGAAGGUCAUGGGUUCGAUUCCCGUUGGGGAGUCAGAA